AAUGAACGCUGGUGGUAUGCUUAACACAUGCAAGUCGAACGAGAAGUUCCUUCGGGGACGAGUAAAGUAGCAGACGGGUGAGUAAUGUAUGGGAAUUUGCCCAGUAGUAAGGAAUAAGCCUUGGAAACGAGGUCUAAUACCGUAUAAUACCGAUUUAUCGGGAAAGGUUCAGUUCUUCGGAAUUGUGCCGCUAUUGGAGAAGCCCAUAUCGGAUUAGUUUGUUGGUGAGGUAAUGGCUCACCAAGACUAUGAUCCGUAGCUGGUCUGAGAGGAUGAUCAGCCACACUGGGACUUAGACACGGCCCAG
rnacentral:rRNA from 1 species